CUGACACUGCCUGGGUUCCCAUCAUGUCACUGUCUGGCUGCAGUGGACCUCGUCCCUGGGUCAACUCUUGUCUUGUUUACCUGGCUAAUUGUCUUGGUGCUCUCCCUUCGGCCCUUUCACAGAAGUCUCUCCCCUAGUCCUUCUGGCCUGUUUGCCUGCUCUGCCUUUCCCCUUUUCUCUUCUGUUGGGACCUGGAGAUCUUCUGACAGAGCCCUGUGAGCUGAGCAGCUCCAGCAGUUGGAUCUCCAUGAAUUACCAAGGGAUGUAAAGACUUAGAAGAGAGUUACAAGAGGAAAUGUAAAACCAUCCAUUUUUACCAAAAUUAAAUGUGCAAAAGGCUACAUA